GCGCCUCUCCCUCCACACCUCCCUGCAAGCUGAGGGAGCCGGCUCUGGCCUUGGCCAGCCUAGAAAGGGGCUCCCACAGUGCAGUGGUGGGCUGAAGGGCUCCUCAAAUGCCGCCAAAGUGGGAGCCCAGGCAGAGGAGGUGCCAAGAGCAAGCGAGGGCUCUGAGGACUGCCAGCACGCUGUCACCUGUCAUUAUCAACAACUUGACUAAAAUACCUCUGUGUUUGAGACCAUCAAGCUUCAGAAGAUCAUGUGACAAAUGUUCCAGCCAGUUCCAGUUGAAGACACCACCCCUGGCCAUCAAGAAGCUACUCUGCCUCCACUAGACAGAGCAGGGUGACAGUUCCGUGAUCCCCAAUAGGUAGGGACUUUGCUUCAAGCCAGCAUGAGGCAGUUACAGAAGAAAGACCAUUAGUCACUCCACCUCCCAUAAAGAUUUAUGGGGAUGACAUCUCUCAGGGAGGAAAUGAGGCAGGAAAAUAGGAUCUGGAGGCAUAGAACAUAAGGCCUAUUCACACUUCAGCUAUGCCGGGAAAUAUUAUCUCCAUUUACAUAGGGCAUACACAAAGUAACCAAUGGAAACCUCUAGAGGGUAUUUAAAUCCCCCAAAAUUCUGUAACAGGACCCUUGAGCCCCUAUGCUUGGGCCCACUCCCACACUGUGGAGUGUACUUCCAUUUUCAAUAAAUAUCU
rnacentral:lncRNA from 1 species